CUAAUUUAUUUAGUGCAUUUCCAAAAGUCGGAGCAG
rnacentral:sRNA from 1 species